UACAGAGGGUGCAAGCGUUAAUCGGAAUUACUGGGCGUAAAGCGUGCGUAGGUGGUUUACUAAGUCAGGUGUGAAAUCCCCGGGCUCAACCUGGGAACUGCGCUUGAUACUGGUAAACUAGAGUUUAGUAGAGGGAAGUGGAAUUCCACGUGUAGCGGUUAAAUGCGUAGAUAUGUGGAGGAACACCAGUGGCGAAGGCGACUCUCUGGACAGUUACUGACACUGAGGCACGAAUGCCAGGGGAGCAAACGGG
rnacentral:rRNA from 1 species